GCUCUGUUUCAUUUUUUUAAUCCUCACCCAAGGACAUCCUUAGAAACAUCGAUGGGUUGCCUUCCAUACUUGCUGAUUACCGGGAACUGAACCCGGAACCUACGUAUGUGCCCUGACUGGGAAUCCAAACCACAACCUCAGAUGUGCUUUUGAUAAGGAAAGAUAACGUCUGAAACUGUCCACCCAAGAUCAAGUGGAAGAAGAAUUUAUUCCAUGGGACUGAAUGAACUGGACCCCAGUCAGUGAUCCAAGGAGAGUGGCAGGAAAAAGAAUUUUUCUUCCUCUACAUUAUCAAGCAGUAUGAGAAAAACAGAUGAACAAAUUGUGGACUAAUGAAGUCAUUGAAGCACAAGGACAGAGAAUGAGGCUGAGAGCCAAAAACUUCAGCUCAACUCCUGAUGAGUAAGUUCUAACAGUC